AAUUUAAAGCAGCAAUUAACAGGUUCAGAUUAAUUAACCAUUUGUGGUCUAGUUCAUGUUUUAUUGUUACUUUUAAACUUUUCAGAUUCUCAUCCUUAUCUUCCAAAAUGACAUCCAGGUAAUCCUAUAGCAAGGCUUGAGUCCUUAUUCAUUCCUUUGCCUCUUUCACUGGAGCUCAUGUUCAAAAUAUAGCAGCUACACUGGUUUUGGAGAUGUUUUACCCUGUGCUCACAGCUGACAGCUCUACAGGUGAAAGUAAUUAUUCCGAGGAACUGGAACAUCACAAAGCUCAGGAAGGACCAAAACAUUUCAUCCAGUGCAGUCACUCAUACUGUGCUAUCAGCAGCAAGAAGGUGCAGCCACAUUAUAGUGGUCACUGGGGCUUAAGUCUGUCUCCAGAGAAUGCUUCACAUAACAGCCAGACUAUGGUAGCAGAGGAUGGUAUCUUCUGGAUUAAGAAAAGCAAUUAACAUAAUAUAGGUGUAUGAAAAAAGUUUCAAGUGUUCUGUCUGCCACUGUCUUUAAACU